UGCGUAUGAUGACACCUCCUAAUGCUGAAGACUCUCUACUAUGCAGUAAGUCCACACUGGGGAGCUGAGCUGCC
rfam:Cavia porcellus supercont2_13 genomic scaffold, whole genome shotgun sequence.